GACGAACGCUGGCGGCGUGCUUAACACAUGCAAGUCGAACGGAAAGGCCCUGCUUGCAGGGUACUCGAGUGGCGAACGGGUGAGUAACACGUGGGUGAUCUGCCCUGCACUUCGGGAUAAGCCUGGGAAACUGGGUCUAAUACCGGAUAGGAGCCAUUUUUAGUGUGAUGGUUGGAAAGUUUUUUCGGUGUAGGAUGAGCUCGCGGCCUAUCAGCUUGUUGGUGGGGUAAUGGCCUACCAAGGCGGUGACGGGUAGCCGGCCUGAGAGGGUGGACGGCCACAUUGGGACUGAGAUACGGCCCAGACUCCUACGGGAGGCAGCAGUGGGGAAUAUUGCACAAUGGGCGCAAGCCUGAUGCAGCGACGCCGCGUGGGGGAUGACGGCCUUCGGGUUGUAAACUCCUUUCGCUAGGGACGAAGCUUUUUGUGACGGUACCUAGAUAAGAAGCACCGGCUAACUACGUG
rnacentral:rRNA from 1 species